AGAGUUUGAUCCUGGCUCAGAUUGAACGCUGGCGGCAGGCUUAACACAUGCAAGUCGAGCGGGGAGAUGUAGCUUGCUACAUUUCCUAGCGGCGGACGGGUGAGUAAUGCUUAGGAAUCUGCCUAUUAGUGGGGGACAACAUUCCGAAAGGAAUGCUAAUACCGCAUACGCCCUACGGGGGAAAGCAGGGGAUCUUCGGACCUUGCGCUAAUAGAUGAGCCUAAGUCAGAUUAGCUAGUUGGUGGGGUAAAGGCCUACCAAGGCGACGAUCUGUAGCGGG
rnacentral:rRNA from 1 species